UCAAAGUGUACAUUUGUUAAGUUUCCAAUGGACUUUUAUUAUUUUCAGCAUUAUUGAUUUUUCUGAGGUCAUGUUUUCGAGUGACCACAGGCUGUCAACGUAUACGAGAGGAGAUUAUUAUUUGGACAUCAGAGUAACUGGCUACCUUGUGCGUAACUGUAAGAAUGCACUUGAGGCAUAGGAACAUUAGGACGAUCUGCCCUAAAGAAAUGUAUAAGAGUGAGGUCUGCAGGUUCUGAGGCUUAGGAUGCUCAGGAUGGGCCAGAAAUAGUUAUUCUGCCAAAUAUUAAUUUAUUUUUUGUGUUUGCGGGUUAACACGUGGGAAUGCUCUUUGGAGAAGGACACCAAUGGUCUCUCGAGCAUUGGA